UGGGGCAGCAGGUCCGUAGCAAUACGGAUGCUGGCGACCGGCAAACGGGUGCGGAACACGUACACAACCUUCCUUUAAGUGGGGAAUAGCCCGGGGAAACCCGGAUUAAUACCCCGUAAUAUAAUGAAGUGGCAUCGCUUUAUUAUUAUAGCUCCGGCGCUUGAAGAUGGGUGUGCGACUGAUUAGGCAGUUGGCGGGGUAACGGCCCACCAAACCUACGAUCAGUAACUGGUGUGAGAGCACGACCAGUCACACGGGCACUGAGACACGGGCCCGACUCCUACGGGAGGCAGCAGUAAGGAAUAUUGGUCAAUGGACGCAAGUCUGAACCAGCCAUGCCGCGUGGAGGAUGAAGGUCCUCUGGAUUGUAAACUUCUUUUAUCUGGGAAGAAAUCCAUGAAUUCUUUUGUGGUUGACGGUACCAGAUGAAUAAGCACCGGCUAACUCCGUGCCAGCAGCCGCGGUAAUACGGAGGGUGCAAGCGUUAUCCGGAUUCACUGGGUUUAAAGGGUGCGUAGGUGGGUUGGUAAGUCAGUGGUGAAAUCUCCAGGCUUAACUUGGAAACUGCCAUUGAUACUAUCAAUCUUGAAUACCGUGGAGGUCAGCGGAAUAUGUCAUGUAGCGGUGAAAUGCUUAGAUAUGACAUAGAACACCAUUGGCGAAGGCAGCUGGCUACACGAAUAUUGACACUGAUGCACGAAAAGCGGGGGGGAUCAAACAGGGAUAAGAUACCCUGGUAGUCCCGCCCUAACGAUGGAUACUCGACAUACGCGAUUUACUGUGUGUGUUUGAACGAAAG
rnacentral:rRNA from 1 species